ensembl:lncRNA
CCUCCCUCUUGGCUGAGCUCAGCCUCUGAUGGGGCCAGGCCCCUCCAUGGGGUAGGACCUGACGUUACUGCAAAGGGAAAGAGAAAGUAAAGAUGCCCAAGAGGGGGAUGGGCCAGACCCUGGCUAAAGAGAGCAGACCGCAGCCGAUCCCACUGGGGGAGGGCAGACUGGAUCCCUCUCCACCCUAUCCACUCACCCAGCCCAAAUCUGCGCCUAGCUCUACACCUGCCUGUUGAAUGAAUGGACGCCAUGAGGGAGUGUGGCCCUUAUGAGGGAAUAAUCACGGCAAAGACAAUGAAAGGAAAAAACCCUGUCUGACAGAGGAGACCCUACAAACGCGCAGAAACUCUCCUUGGAGUCAAGAAAUAAAGUAGAAAAUUAUUAGUUGCCUUGAAGAAGGAAUUCAUAGGGCCUGGACUCCAUCUUAGGCCUGUUCAUGCUGAUCAUGCUCGGCUACCUUUCCAAUGGACUCUGAACUCUGUGUUUAGUGCCUAUGAAAACAACAGAAGGAUAAGACCCCUCCAGACAGGGGAACCUUGAAGAUCGUAUCUAGGUUACUCAUCGCCUAAGAGAAAACAUACACUAAUCACCCCUUCCUUGAGACAGGCCAUAAGUUUUUCUGUAUCUAUCGGAGUAUAACCUCGGGUUUAUUGAUUAUUGGCUAACUGUUUGACUGUUUGAGCACAUGAGCACAUAGCACGUGAAUGAUGGGGUUACUGGGAUUGUAUUUUCCUUGGUUUAUGUAAGUCUCAAGGAAUUUGGAGUGGUGGGUUCAGACACAUACACACAGGGUAUAAAAGAUUUUCACAGAUGCUGGUUGGGGUCCUUGGCUAAGAGGAGACUCUGCCUUGGGCCCGCCGGUGUAAUAAACUGCACUCCACUAUCUGCAUUGUCCUUCUGAGUGAGUUUGCUUCCCGGAAUGUGUGGCUACAACAGCCUGACUCUUAGCGACCCCAUGGACUGUAGCCCGCCAGGCUCCUCUGUCCAUGGAAUUCUCUAGGCGAGAAUACUGGGGUGGGUUGCCAUUUCCUUCACCAGGAGAUCUUCCCAACCCAGGGCCACCGGGGAAGCCUUGGAAUCAAAAGUCAGAGGAUAAUUCCAGGCCAUGAUGAGUCUUGCUCCUCCCAGAAGCCUUCACUUCAAGAUCCAACUGGGUUAGGGUGGGCGUGCGCACCCCAGGGGAGGGUCCUGAGACAAAUUAACCAGGGAGGACAAAGUAAGGUGAUUGGCUUGAGGGAAGACAUAGACUCAGAAAACUGCCCUUUUAUGAAGGAUUUAUUAUAAAGGAUUUAAACUCCCCAAAGUUGCUAAUUUCUCUCUCUCGGAG